GAUGAAGAACGUAGCGAAAUGCGAUAAGUAAUGUGAAUUGCAGAAUUCAGUGAAUCAUCGAAUCUUUGAACGCACAUUGCGCCCCCUGGUAUUCCGGGGGGCAUGCCUGUUCGAGCGUCAUUUCACCACUCAAGCCUCGCUUGGUAUUGGGCAUCGCGGUCCGCCGCGUGCCUCAAAUCGACCGGCUGGGUCUUCUGUCCCCUAAGCGUUGUGGAAACUAUUCGCUAAAGGGUGUUCGGGAGGCUACGCCGUAAAACAACCCCAUUUCUAAGGUUGACCUCGGAUCAGGUAGGGAUACCCACUGAACUUAAGCAUAUCAAUAAGCGGAGGA
rnacentral:misc_RNA from 1 species